UCGAACGGUAACGGGAAGGAAGCUUGCUUUCUUUGCCGACGAGUGGCGGACGGGUGAGUAAUGCUUGGGAAUCUGGCUUAUGGAGGGGGAUAACUACGGGAAACUGUAGCUAAUACCGCGUAAUAUCUAUGGAUUAAAGGGUGGGACUUUCGGGCCACCUGCCAUAAGAUGAGCCCAAGUGGGAUUAGGUAGUUGGUUAGGUAAAGGCUGACCAAGCCGACGAUCUCUAGCUGGUCUGAGAGGAUGACCAGCCACACUGGAACUGAGACACGGUCCAGACUCCUACGGGAGGCAGCAGUGGGGAAUAUUGCACAAUGGGGGGAACCCUGAUGCAGCCAUGCCGCGUGAAUGAAGAAGGCCUUCGGGUUGUAAAGUUCUUUCGGUAGCGAGGAAGGUAUCAAAUUUAAUAGAUUUGGUAAUUGACGUUAACUACAGAA
rnacentral:rRNA from 1 species